UAGGGAAUCUUCCGCAAUGGGCGAAAGCCUGACGGAGCAACGCCGCGUGAGUGAUGAAGGUCUUCGGAUCGUAAAACUCUGUUAUUAGGGAAGAACAAAUGUGUAAGUAACUAUGCACGUCUUGACGGUACCUAAUCAGAAAGCCACGGCUAACUACGUGCCAGCAGCCGCGGUAAUACGUAGGUGGCAAGCGUUAUCCGGAAUUAUUGGGCGUAAAGCGCGCGUAGGCGGUUUUUUAAGUCUGAUGUGAAAGCCCACGGCUCAACCGUGGAGGGUCAUUGGAAACUGGAAAACUUGAGUGCAGAAGAGGAAAGUGGAAUUCCAUGUGUAGCGGUGAAAUGCGCAGAGAUAUGGAGGAACACCAGUGGCGAAGGCGAUUUUCUGGUCUGUAACUGACGCUGAUGUGCGAAAGCGUGGGGAUCAAACAGG
rnacentral:rRNA from 1 species